AUACGUAGGUGACAAGCGUUAUCCGGAUUUACUGGGCGUAAAGGGCGUGUGGGCGGUCUUGCAAGUCAGAAGUGAAAUUCCUGAGCUCAACUCGGGCGCUGCUUCUGAAACUGCAGGACUUGAGUGCUGGAGGGGAUAGCGGAAUUCCUAGUGGAGCGGUAAAAUGCGCAGAUAUUAGGAAGAACACCGGUGGCGAAGGCGGGUAUCUGGACAGUAACUGACGCUGAGGCGCGAAAGCGUGGGGAGCAAACAGGAUUAGAUACCCUGGUAGUCCACGCCGUAAACGAUGAGCACUAGCUGUUGGGGCCGAAUGGUCUCAGUGGCGCAGUUAACGCAAUAAGUGCUCCGCCUGGGGAGUACGCGCGCAAGCGUAAAACUCAAAGGAAUUGACGGGG
rnacentral:rRNA from 1 species